rnacentral:rRNA from 1 species
CCUACGGGUGGCAGCAGUCGAGAAUCAUUCACAAUGGGGGAAACCCUGAUGGUGCGACGCCGCGUGGGGGAAUGAAGGUCUUCGGAUUGUAAACCCCUGUCAUGUGGGAGCAAAUUAAAAAGAUAGUACCACAAGAGGAAGAGACGGCUAACUCUGUGCAAGCAGCCGCGGUAAUACAGAGGUCUCAAGCGUUGUUCGGAAUCACUGGGCGUAACGCGUGCGUAGGCUGUUUUGUAAGUCGUGUGUGAAAGGCGCGGGCUCAACCCGCGGACGGCACAUGAUACUGCGAGACUAGAGUAAUGGAGGGGGAACCGGAAUUCUCGGUGUAGCAGUGAAAUGCGUAGAUAUAGAGAGGAACACUCGUGGCGAAGGCGGGUUGCUGGACAGUAACUGACGCUGAGGCACGAAGGCCAGGGGAGCGAAAGGGAUUAGAUACCCGAGUAGUC